AUGUGUUUGACCUUGGUGCGCUGCUACGAGAAGACUCUCUGCUGCGACUGCCUAGAAGAUUCCUGGACUUUUCCAGUGUCUCAUCUACUGCAAUUUCCAGCUGUCUCUCAGUUUUGAUAUGUUUCCUUUGCUGUACUAUUCUUAUUCUAUAUGUGCCUAUAGCUGAAAUGACACAGCUGUGAGGUGGAAGGAUGCAGCAUAGAAUCCUGUGUUUCCAUGGAUCAAAUGGCUUCUGAGGGCUGCACCUGGAGUGACUCGCUGAAGGAAAAAUCUUUCCCAAAGAGAAUAAUAUACCUGCAGAAACUGGAAGAAAGGCUUGCUGUAAACUAAUUGUACACAUUGGCUUACCACUCUUGACUCGUCUACCUCCUCCCUGCUAAGUGGUGCAGGGGUAUUCGGAACUGGGGUUGCUGCCAGUUCAUAGUGCUUUAUCUCUGCUGCUCCUUUCUCCUCGUGCUGUUUACCUGCACCAACAUGGGUCCUUCCCACAGGCUGCAGUUCUUCAAAAGCUGUUCCAUCACGGGUCCUCUUCACAGGAUACAGUCCUUCAGGAAUGGACUGCUCCAGCAUGGGUCCCCCGUGGGCUGCAGUUCCUGCCAGAAAGCCUACUCCAACAUGGGCUUUCCAAAGGCUGCAGCUUUCUUCAGGGCACAUCCACCUGCCCCAGCAUGGAGUCCUUCUUGGGCUGCAGAGGGACAACCAGCUUCACUGUGGUCUUCUCCAUGGGCUGCAGGAGAAUCUCUGCUCUCACUCCUGGAGCAUGUCCUCCCCCUCUUUCUUCUCUGACCUUGGUGUCCGCAGAACAGUUUUGCUCACAAUUUCUCACUUGUCUCUCAGAGCUGUUGUGCUGUAUUUUUUACGCUUUCUUAAAUAUGUUAUCACAGAGACACCACCAGUGUCACUCAUUGGCUCAGCUUUGGGCAGUGGUGGGUCCCUGGAACUGGCUCUGUUCAAAAUGGCGGCAGCUCCUGGUCUCUUCUCCCAGAGGUACCCCCUGCAGAUCCCUGCUACCAAACUGUUGUCACAUAAACCCAUACAGAUGUUAAAUUAGCCAGCCAGCCAGGAGACAUUUCAACUGAGAAGACACCAAUGCCUUUUCAUAGACUGUUCACUUAACAGUCACUGGGACGCAGCUGACAUAUCAGCAGGUAUAGCUUAAUAAAGCACUGGGGCACUGUGAAGUUCUUUGUGAGCUCCUAACAAUGCACAACACUGGUACGGAAGCUCUACCCAAGUUUAGAUGGUUUAGUACAGUUCAAGUUUGCUGUUAUCUAUAGCUGUCAUCAUAGAAAAAAAGGACUUCACUAGGCUUCUCCCAUCUGCUUUGGCUGCUGGGUCAAAUCAGAUUAUAGGGAUUUAUCUGCUCACCUGAGAACAGCUACAAGCAGAAGUCCAUAGCAAGGUGCAUGCUCCCUGGUCUUGCUCCGAAAUGAAAUACCUAAAAUAUCCUGUUUCUGUGCCUGUCACGGAGAUGAGCAUAGACUUAAGUCUUAACAUAUACUUUCAGGCACUUCUGAACUGGAUUUUAAACAGUAGUAAUUCCAGAUUGUAUUGACCUAAAAAUACAGAGUUCCUGUGGAUCAGAGGUUCAUUUAUCUUAAGUUUCUUUUUUACUGUACAAUCUACAUAGAGAAAUAGAUGGAGAAGGGUUUUAAAGAACUUUUAAAUAAUGUUUGUACAUGUUUAAAGGUCUUUUGCAUUGCUAGCCUGAUAGAAAGAGACCUUAGUGUAAACAAGAUUCUGCUUUGCUAUAUUUUAUAUCUUACAUAGAAAAAUAGCCGCAGGGUAGGUUUUGAAAAGCUUUUAGGGAUAGAUUCUUUCUGUUCUUGCUGAUGGUAGAACUCCCAUUGACAUCAAUAAAAAACAGAUUAGGCCAGUGCAGAAGAGUUUUGAAAAUGCCUUAUAAAUGCUACAAUAUGCUAUUUUGCAUUUAAUUACACAAAUGAAUCCCUUAAAAUUCUUAAAUCCGGAAUACUAGCUUCCCUUAGGGGAAAAGGAAAAAAAGGCUAUCGCAUGCUUUCUGUAGUCAGAGGACAGCAGAAACAUGGAUCAAGUGAAAAAUUAAAAAGCAAUCAUUGAGUUGUUAGGAAGGCAAGAUUUUCAUUGAUGUCAGCAAGCUUUUCUACUUGAGGAUAAGAUAGACAUCUAUAGCCUGAUUCAAGACCACUUAAAAUCAUUACAGAUAUUUUAGUAGUUACAGCAGGUGUUAAUGGGGUCAACUGUGAAUCUAAACUUUAUAUAUCUGACUCUUACCUCCUGGAAUGACCAUUUGUAUUCAGUAUUUUGGGUGAUAUGAAGGCUAAGUAAUUUGGCUCCUGAUCUUAAACAUCAGCUAAACCUUAUACAGCUGUCUCCUGCUGUAUGCCCAUUCUGAGUGUAUAAUUAGGAGUAGAUUUAAUGUUUCUUUUGCAAUGCAGCACCAUGGCUCUCUUACUCCAUAACCAGUCCCAUGUUGUCAAUAAUUCAAGAGAGUUCACAGAAGGAUUGAAAGAUUUAAACACUACAUUUUAAAAACUGUUUACCCUUGUGCCCCUUUGCUUUUUUAUCCCCGGAUCCUGUAGUCAUAGGGAUCCCAUUAGCCAGCAUCUCCCCUGGCAUCAGCAUAGCAGUAAAACUUUAAUUCUGUUUUGGGUAACCUCACAUACCAAACACAUCUCUUGAUUCAUGAUGUUAUUUCAUUGUCUUUUUCACCAAAAAGAAAGCAUUCUGACAUUAGCUGGCUUUUACAUCUGUCCAUAACAUAAAAAGAACAAUAUCCCUAAGGAAAAGCUUUGUCUGCCAUGAGUCACAUCACUCUGAAUGUUUUGCUUCAGUCAUCUGAAACAAUUAUUAAUUUGAAAAAUAAAAUCUAUUUCAUUUUUCUGUCUUCAAAAAUCAGGAGUUUCCUCUUUCUCUUUUAAGUGUUUCAAAUAGUACAGACAUAAAAAAAGAUUUAUAUAUUACAGACUUACAUGAUUGUGCUAAAGAUAUUUUACAUAUAUCUGCUUGUUAAAUUAAAAGUAAAUUGCACUGUGUUGAAAUAUAGGAUUUUCUUCUACAUUAUAAUUAAACUCAGAUAUCAAAUAUUUGUAGGGAGGAUAUUAGAAACACAAGCAGAAAUUGAAAUCUCUACGAUUCCCUAUAAAGAGAAAUAUCUUACCAAAAUGUGCUUUGCAAACUAUCAGCAAUUUAAAUAACUGCAAAUAAAGUGGUCAUUUUCUCUUCUGGAAGAUUAGGUAUUGUCCUGACAUAUGAUAAAAAUAAAUGGAAAAUUCCAACUGAAAACACAAUAAAAGCAAAUUACAAAGGACUUUAUCUUUUCCAAAGAAAGGUGAAAUAAUAAUAUAUUUCUGUACUGUGACAAGUUCUUCAUGUAUCAAGAUGCUAAAUCACUAUGAUUAAAAAAAUAAUUCAGGAAAUUAAAAGAAUUUGUUUUACUGACCCUUUAAGUACACAAGCAGUGUGUGACAGUAAUAUAAAAUAUAAAUUUGGAUAUAUUAACUUUUUUUCUGUAUAUAUGCAACUUACGUGGAGGAGGGUACUUAAAAUCUGAAAUUUAAAAUGUCUUGUUACAUAUCCUCAGGAAAACCUUCCUUGAUUUAGAAAGACUUAUGUUGGCUUCAUUUCAAUACUAUGUGAAAAAGCAGCAUAUGAAAUGUGUGCUUGGAGAAAUAUUGUUAAUGUCAGCAUUUUGGUUUUCUUACAAAUAGCAGCUCAGUAACAGCAGUAAUAUCACUUAGAAGUUGGAAGGUUUUUGUGGACAACUUUUUGUAAUAUUGAAUUUUCAUGAAAUCUCUGACAUUAGCAAGUAAAAGAAAAGUGCCUUUGCAUGCUA